CAUUUAAAGGUUUAGUUUUAAAUAUAACCUGCUCCAUGAAAUAUUUAAAUAGCUGUAGUAAUACACUAAGGUAGCAUAAUCAUUUGUUUAUUAAUUGUAAACUUGUAUGAAAGGUAAAACGUAUAUGUAAGUUGAUAUUUUUAUUCUUUGAAUUUUAAUUUCUAGUAAGAAUGCUAGAAUUUAUUUUGGGGACGAGAAGACCCUACGAAGUUUGAAAUGGAUUUAUUAAGAAUGAAUAUGAUAAAUUAUUUUGGUUGGGGCAACUCUUUAAGAAUAGGUAGCUUAAGGAUAAUUAUAUAUUUAUUUGAUCCAUUAAUUAUGACUAAUUGAAAAGUUACUCUAGGGAUAACAGCAUAAUGAAAGUUUAUAAGAUCAUAUUUACAAUUUUGUUUAUGACCUCGAUGUUGAAUUACUUUACUAUAAGAAGAAGAAGAUUUAUAAGUGGGUCUGUUCGACCUUUAAAAAAGUACA
rnacentral:rRNA from 1 species